UGAGGAUGAGGAUUUUCAGAGUGGAUUUUGUGAGAUUUUUUUGUUUUUUUCAGAGUGAGGUGUUGUGAGGUAUUUGAGUGGAGGGAGCGUGAGAUAAAGAGAGAGAGGACACGUGGAGGGAAGAGAGAGGGUGGAGAAUGUAACGUGUGUGUGAGGGAAGAGAGAGAUCUUUUUUCAGAUUUUGUGAGGUGAAUGGAUGAGGUUGAGGGACACAUGGCGAAUAGAGAGGAGAAAGACGUUGGAAUGAAUCUCCAAUGGAUUCUUAUUAUUUAUUUAUUUAUUUUUUUUAUUUUUUUUUUAUUUUAAGAAAAGAGAAUCCAAUGCUAAUAUUUUUUAAUACACUUAUAAUUCACUUAAAUACAUAAAACAUUAAUUGAAAAAACUAAUUAACAUUUGAUUUAAAUAAAUUUUAACUAUUN
rnacentral:lncRNA from 1 species